UACGGGGGGCGCAAGCGUUGUUCGGAUUUACUGGGCGUAAAGGGCGCGUAGGCGGCCACCUCGAGGCAAUUGUGAAAUCUCCGGGCUCAACCCGGAACGGUCAACUGAUACUGCGGGGCUAGAGUGCAGAAGGGGCAACUGGAAUUCUCGGUGUAGCGGUGAAAUGCGUAGAUAUCGAGAGGAACACCGGUGGCGAAGGCGGUUCUCUGGGCCUGACCUGACGCUGAGGAGCGAAAGCGUGGGGAGCGAACAGG
rnacentral:rRNA from 1 species